rnacentral:lncRNA from 1 species
GGGAUGGCUCUCUGGGUCAGGGAGGAGGGAUAUAUUUGAAAAUUAUGGUAAGGUAAAAAUAAAAGAUAUGAAUGCACAAUUUUAAGAAAAGAAAACCUCUGUAGAAAAGCCUUCAAUCUGAGCAAUAGUCAAUGAUAGUGAUCAUAAUGACAUAUGACCCAUCUUGCAAAGACCCCUGGGAUAAUGUUGUCAGGCACACAGUGUUGCUUCUCAUCAUAUAUAACCCUCAGCUAUUUAAUCCUGCAGGGGUACUAGUGCCUUCCCUUCCAAAAUGACCUUGCAUUGAUUUUGUAUAUUCUUUGGAUGCCCUUGCAGGAGGACAGGGGAGGUGAUGUUCCUGAAGAGUGACACCAUCACUCAUGGAUGUCUCACUCUGCACCCUGAGUCCACCUCCUCUGAGUCAGGAGCUCCCGACAUGGGACCCACACGUGGGACUGGUGUGGACGGAUCCCCUGAUUUCCUCACUGAAGGUUUCCUCCUGAUGAAAUUGCUGUUGGGGCCAAAACCCAAACCCGAACGACCCUAAAGUAUAAGGACAUUAUGGGGCCAUAAAAACAAUAAAUGUGAAAAAUCCAAGGAAAUCCA